GAUGAACGCUGGCGGCGUGCUUAACACAUGCAAGUCGAACGAUGAAGCCCAGCUUGCUGGGUGGAUUAGUGGCGAACGGGUGAGUAACACGUGAGUAACCUGCCCUUAACUCUGGGAUAAGCCUGGGAAACUGGGUCUAAUACCGGAUAGGAGCGUCCACCGCAUGGUGGGUGUUGGAAAGAUUUAUCGGUUUUGGAUGGACUCGCGGCCUAUCAGCUUGUUGGUGAGGUAAUGGCUCACCAGGGCGACGACGGGUAGCCGGCCUGAGAGGGUGACCGGCCACACUGGGACUGAGACACGGCCCAGACUCCUACGGGAGGCAGCAGUGGGGAAUAUUGCACAAUGGGCGCAAGCCUGAUGCAGCGACGCCGCGUGAGGGAUGACGGCCUUCGGGUUGUAAACCUCUUUCAGUAGGGAAGAAGCGAAAGUGACGGUACCUGCAGAAGAAGCACCGGCUAACUACGUG
rnacentral:rRNA from 1 species